rnacentral:snoRNA from 8 species
AUACACGUGUAUACACGUGUGUGUGUGUAUACACGUGUAUACACGUGUGUGUGUGUAUACACGUGUAUACACGUGUGUGUGUGUAUACACGUGUAUACACGUGUGUGUGUGUAUACAUGUGUGUGUGUGUGUAUACACGUGUAUACACGUGUGUGUGUGUGUAUACACGUGUAUACACGUG